UGCCGGACGGCCGCGCGGUAUCAUGCCGAAAGGUUUUACCGUGAGGAAAGUCCGGGCUUCACAGGGCAGGAUAGCUGAUAACGUCAGCCGCGGGUGACCGCCGGGAAAGUGCAACAGAAACAGACCGCCGAGCGGCGCCUCGCGCGCCGCGGCAAGGGUGGAAAGGCGAGGUAAGAGCUCACCAGUUCGCAUGGUAACAUGCGUCCGCUGUAAACCCUAUCCGAAGCAACACCGCAUGGGGAUCGCUUGCCCGGCAUAUAUCCCCGGGUGGCAUCGAGCGUCGCGGUGACGCGGCGCCAAGAUAGAUGGCCGUUCAAGACAGAACCCGGCUUACAGACAGAGUC
rnacentral:RNase_P_RNA from 1 species